ensembl:lncRNA
CCCCCCAUCGCCAUGGGAACCGCGGCCGGCGGCGCCUGCGCGGAGGGCCCCGGGGCGGAGCUCAGCCCGCGGACUUGAGCUCUCGCUUGGCGCCGGGAUCGGGGGGACGGUCCGGCAGGUCAGAGGUCGCGAGUUUCCACCGAAACUCCUCCCGGAAGCGCUCCUGGCCCUAGAGCCCCGACCCUGCCUCGCCUGACUCAGAACAUUUGUACAUGAUGCCUGCUUGCGUUGCCGGGGUUAGACCCCGGCUUUGGCCGGGAGUCACCCACAACACACACCGCGAACCGCCGCCGGGUCUGCGCCCGAGAGCCUAGUGCAGCCUGGGAGCUCGGCAGAGCCUCGCCCAUUGAACCGUUUGGGCUACGGGCGCCCGGAGCGAGCCCGGUCUGUGCGAAGUGCUCGCGCCUCCUCGCGGCGAGCAGGGGACUCGCACCCGGGGCGGCUCAUUUCCUCUGGAGUACCUACAGUGCGUAUCAUCCCUGCGGCCUUAUGUUGAAGUGGGGGAUGAAGGGUAAAGGGUCUGAAGCUCAGAGAGGUUAAGUGAAUCAUUCAAAGUCACACAGCUAAGAUCGCAGCCUGGGUUCCCUAGAAAACAGAGCCUGAGGCAAGAUUAACAAACUAAUGCCUUAUUGGGGAUGUAAUCCCAGCCUAACAAGAGUGAAGGAAAAGGGACUGAGACUGAGAAGGAGGGAGGGCAAAUAUAAGACGUUCUUGACUGAAUUGGCCACAGCUUUUCAAGAAAAUGCGACCAGGAGUUCCACCACUCAGGGCAUCUCUGGGGGAAGCCACGUGAAAUGGGCAGGGAUGAGGGGCAAGAACUUCAUCUGCUGGCCUGUCCCGUUUCCCCUCUGCCAUUAGUGACCACUGGACCCAAUCACUGCUCGUGUCUGAGCUGUGUUACUGACGCCUCCAGGCAGCCAUGAGGAAAACCAUCUCUGCACCCAGAAGCUCACCUGAGUCUAGGAGAGGAGGCUCCAGAACCCUGGCCCCAAGCCCUGGCCUCAGCUCCGGCCAGGUCGGCUGGGACCACAGCUGGGGCUGUUGGCAGAACGACUCAGGCCUCAUCACCGCAGGCCGAGCUAGCCAAGUGGUUGCAGCAGUCUGACCCAGGCCGCCUGACCCAGGCCGAACUGCAGCAGUCUGACCCAGGCCGCCUGCGGGGGCAGGCGAGCAGAGGCUGGAUGGCGUCCAGGGCUGCUGGGUGGCCGGGAAGGACACAGCUAAGCACGCUUGAGAAGGUGCAACAAUCACACCUGACAGAAAUCAGACUGGGAUUCAGAUCCAGUUGAGACUAACCCCGAAGC